UACGAAGGGGGCUAGCGUUGCUCGGAAUUACUGGGCGUAAAGGGCGCGUAGGCGGAUACUUAAGUUAGAGGUGAAAGCCCAGGGCUCAACCCUGGAAUAGCCUUUAAUACUGGGUAUCUUGAGUUCGGGAGAGGUGAGUGGAAUGCCGAGUGUAGAGGUGAAAUGCGUAGAGAUCGGGAGGAACAUCUGUGGCGAAGGCGACUACCUGGACCAGCACUGACACUGAGGCACGAAAGCGUGGGGAGCAAACAGG
rnacentral:rRNA from 1 species